UGAAGCCUUUCGGGGUGGAUUAGUGGCGAACGGGUGAGUAACACGUGGGCAAUCUGCCCUGUACUUUGGGAUAAGCCCUGGAAACGGGGUCUAAUACCGGAUAGGACUGCGCAUCGCAUGGUGUGUGGUGGAAAGCUCCGGCGGUACAGGAUGAGCCCGCGGCCUAUCAGCUUGUUGGUGGGGUGAUGGCCUACCAAGGCGACGACGGGUAGCCGGCCUGAGAGGGCGACCGGCCACACUGGGACUGAGACACGGCCCAGACUCCUACGGGAGGCAGCAGUGGGGAAUAUUGCACAAUGGGCGCAAGCCUGAUGCAGCGACGCCGCGUGAGGGAUGACGGCCUUCGGGUUGUAAACCUCUUUCGACAGGGACGAAGGGCGACUGACGGUACCUGUAGAAGAAGCACCGGCUAACUACGUGCCAGCAGCCGCGGUAAUACGUAGGGUGCGAGCGUUGUCCGGAAUUAUUGGGCGUAAAGAGCUCGUAGGCGGUUUGUCGCGUCGGCCGUGAAAACUGGAGGCUUAACCUUCAGCUUGCGGUCGAUACGGGCAGACUUGAGUUCGGUAGGGGAGACUGGAAUUCCUGGUGUAGCGGUGAAAUGCGCAGAUAUCAGGAGGAACACCGGUGGCGAAGGCGGGUCUCUGGGCCGAUACUGACGCUGAGGAGCGAAAGCGUGGGGAGCGAACAGGAUUAGAUACCCUGGUAGUCCACGCUGUAAACGUUGGGCGCUAGGUGUGGGCGACAUCCACGUUGUCCGUGCCGUAGCUAACGCAUUAAG
rnacentral:rRNA from 1 species